UGUUUAGCUCGUGCCAGUCUUUUUUGCAGACAUGCGUUCAUAUUUAAAACUUCUUAAAAACGAAGUCAAAAGCUAAUUUAGGUGAAGGUGUCUUGAGUUGUUUUCCUUUUUGUUGAAGGAAGUAACAAAGGCCCCGCAUGUCGUUGUCGUAGAGCAGUCAUGUCAGACGACGAAAGUGUGCCUGGUUUUCUUGAAGACGACAGAGUAAAGUUUGUCGAGGCUAAAGUGUGUAGCCUGCUGCAGCUGCACCGCCAAACAUGGGACAAGAGUGCGGUCAACGAAGAGUUCCAAACCGUGCUGAAAGACUUCUUCGAAAAGAAGUCUGUAAUGUAUUUCUCUUCUUCCAAAAAAGGAGGUCUGGUUGCUUCUAAUGGGGUCCCAGCUGGUGCUCAAAACAGGCACAUCUAUAUUCUCAAGAAGAGAGUGGCCCUCAUCACCUCUGAUAACUGCAGGGAACUGCUGCUCUUUGGCCUCCAGUCUCCAUCACCACUGCUGCAGCUGUCAAGCACAGUGGAGCAGGUAUGUGUUCCACUGUUGUCAAACAACAAAAACCAUCACACGUGGCCAACUUUGUUGUCUGAGGACAUCAUUCGACAUGUUGAGAAUAUGUGCAGUAAGACAUCAGUGGUCCAGGGACAGGUUUUAGGGAAAAGUGUCCUCCCUAUCCCAGCUGCGACAGAUUGGGUGGAAAAUGCAUUCAGCAACUUCAAAAUGUAUAAUAACUAUGACAGGGCACUGGCUCAUGCCAUAGAGAGCCAGGUCAUCAACUGGAGCAAUAUUAUCCAGAAGAUUUUAAAGGAAGAUUCAUCAGACCUCCUCAUAACAGGCAGCAACCCAGGGCCCGAUGCAGAGCUGAAGUUUUGGGCUUCAAGAAAGGCCAAUAUACAGAAUGUUUGUGAUCAGCUUCAGAGUCCAGUUGUUCAGAAGAUGGCAGAGAUAUUAGAGAUGAUGGAUAGCAGUUAUUAUCCCGCAAUCAAGACUCUAAUUGGAAGUGUAGUUGACGCACUUCAAGAAGCGAAGGACAUUGACCUUUAUCUACAGCCGCUACACGCACAACUGAUUCCACUGGAAAAGGAAGGAUUUCCUAACUUGGAAAAAUUCACCCCUGUACUUUUCCACACAUUGUUCCUAAUCUGGACCAACUGCCAAUCUUAUCAAAGACCGGCACGCAUUGUGGUGCUGCUGCAGGAGCUGUGCAAUCUGUUCAUUGAGCAGGCUUCUACAUACCUCUCUGCAGAUCUGCUUCUCAGAGAGGAUCCAGAGGAAAGUCUAUCUAUGGUAAAGAGAGUGAUAAAAGUCUUUAGAUGUUUUAAAGACAGUUACCAAACCCAGAGGGAGAGGUUGGCCCACUAUGUGAAACAUGCACCCUGGGAUUUCCCAUCCGCCAUGAUUCUUGCACGUUUCAACCAGUUCUUUAAUCGUAUGCUACAGCUGGAGGACUUGUUUGAAAUCAUGCUGGACUUUCAGAGGAUGGAAAAACUAGAGUUUGGUGGACUUAAUGGCAAAAUCUACAGUGAGAAUGCUGCUCAGAUGUACAAAGAAUUCAGUAACCACUGCCAAGUGCUGAAGCACAGUGAAAACAGCCCUUAUGACUUAAGCUCUCAGGAUUUUGAAAACGAGCAUAAGGAUUUGAAACUGAUGAUUGUGGACUUUGAAUGCCGCCUUGCCAGCCUUAUUUGCUUGGCCUUUAAGGAUUGCUCAGGACUGGAGUCAGGAUUUAAACUGCUAACUAUUGUUGGACCCUUCCUGGAGAGAAGACAAAUCCGACAGAUAUUCAGUCCCAACUACCUUAUUCUGCAGCAGCUUUUCAGAGAAGAGCUGGAGAGAUGUAAAUGCCAUUUUAAAUCCAAGCUCAAUAAGAUGGAGAGUGGUCUGGGUAAGAACAUGGCACACACAUCUGGAGCACUGAAGUGGGCGAAAAUGCUCAGAACACGCAUUCAGACAUCAUGGGAAAAAAUCAGAUUACUGUUUGACAUGCCUGCAAGAGGUGGAGAAUUGGCAAAGGAGUACCACAUGUACAUGGAGAUGUUGAGCCUUCUGGACAAAUAUGAGGAGGACAUUUACUCUGACUGGCGUAACGGUUUGGAAGAGGCAUGCCUGAUGAACCUCAAUCAACACCUUAUCUCCAGAAAUGCCUCAUCUGACCUGAUCUCACUCAACUUCAAUCCUAAGCUGACUGAAGUCUUGAAAGAUGUGAAGUAUAUUCAGACUCUCUGUGAGAUCACGAUCCCCGCAGCUGCAAUGGCAGUUUUUGAGAAGCGUGACAUGUUCACAAAGUAUGUGAGCAGUCUGCAGCUGUUGGUACAAUGGUACAAUAAGCUAAAGCAGACGGUGCUGGAGGUGGAACUUCCUCUCGUCAGAGCGGAGCUAGAGUCCAUAGACGUGCAGUUGACCAGGGCAGAGAGUGAGCUGACAUGGAAGGAUCCGGACUGCUGGAGCUUCAUCAGCACCACCAAAGACCUGGCCCACAACCUGGUGGGUCGAGUCAGUAGAGCCAAGGAAAACUGCGAAGCCAUCCAGUCCAUGAUGAAGGGAUGGAGCAAACAGGCCAUGUUUUGCAGAAAGGAUAACAAGAAAGGCUCGCUCAUACAGCUGGAGGACAGGGGAGACCGUGUCAACAGGAAGUACAGCUCCAUGAAGAAAGAUGGAGACUCUAUCCACAAGCUGGUACAGGAUAAUAAGGUCCAUUUCCACGCUGACCCUGAGUCAGAAGCAUGGCAGUCCUACCUGGAGCAUGUGGAUGAGAUGGUGGUGGAGGGGCUCUUCAGCUUCAUCAGCCACUCUCUGCAGUUCUUUGCGAACAACAUGGAAUCGUGGCCGAGCCCGACACCUCUGUUUGAGUCUCAGUUGAUGCUCAGUAGCUCAGGAAUGGUUUUCCUCCCCUCAUUGGAGCAAGAUGCAGGGGACGGCCUGUAUGAGCUGAUAGAAGGACUGGUUGGAGACAUAUUCAAGACUUCAGUGAAUAUCAACAGAAUAGCUGCUCAUCAUAGCACGGAGAGCUACCAGGAUCUAAUGGAUGACAUGCUGGAUUUGUUGGACCUGAGGCAAGAAAUAAUGGAGCGAGUGGAAAACGUCCUCAAGGAAGCAAUAAAUGACCAGAGAAAGUUUGACUGCUACACCCAUCUGUGGCAAGAUGACAGGGCUGAGUUCCUCGGCCAGUUUCUGCUGUAUGGGCGUGUCCUGACAGCCGAAGAGAUGGAAGCUCAUGGCGCUGAUGGCCUCCCUGAGAGCCCGCCCACAAUUGAUAACUUCAAAGAACAGAUCGAUUAUUAUGAGGAUCUUUAUGCUGACAUUUCCAAACUUGAAGACUUCAAAGUGUUCAAUGGAUGGUUUCGGGUGGAUAUUAAGUUCUUUAAAGUGAGCCUCCUUAACACUGUGAAGAAGUGGAGCUGGCUUUUUAAAGAACACCUCUUGACCUAUGUCACUAACAGUCUCGAUGAGCUGCAGAAGUUUGUCCGAGCCACUGUUGAAGGGCUAGGCCAGCCUGUGGCUACUGGAAACCACCGUGGCCUGGUGGAAGUGAUGAGUCAUCUGUUGGCCGUCAGAGACAGACAAGCAGCCACAGACAAGAUGUUUGAGCCUUUUAGAGACACAGUGAUCCUGCUGGAGCAGUAUGGAGUGAUCAUACCAGACCAGGUCCAUUCUCAGCUAGAAGAACUUCCUGAGAAAUGGAGUGGGGCAAAAAAAUUGGCCUUAAAAGUGAGGCAUGAGGUGGCUCCCAUGCAGAAUGCAGAAGUGAUGGUGAUACGGAAACGAUGCAUGACGUUUGAGGUGAAACAAAGCAAAUUCAGGGAGAUGUUCAGAGCAACAGCGCCAUUCAGAUACAAUGCUGUGCGACCCUACAUCAGUCUGGAGAAGUCUGAAAAAGCCGUUCGAGACAUGGAGAAGGAGGUGGCAGAGUUGCAGGAGUCCAUGAAUCUCUUCGAUGUUACUAUUCCUGACUACAGAGACAUCAAGUCCUGUAGGCGAGAGAUCACGGUCCUCAAAGAAUUAUGGGACAUUGUUGUGUUUGUGCAGAGCAGUGUUGAAAACUGGACAAUGACCAAAUGGAGGCAGAUAAACGUGGACCAGAUGGAUGGCGAAUUGAGGAGGUUUGCCAAGGACAUACGGAAUCUUGACAAAGAGGCUCGCAUUUGGGAUGUGUAUUCCGGGUUAGACCUUUAUGUAAAGAACCUGUUGACGUCACUGCGGGCCGUGAGUCAGCUACAGGACCUGGCAAUACGAGAGCGCCACUGGGUGCAGCUAAUUAGAAUAACACAGAUGGACUUCACUGUGACGGACAGCACCACUCUGGGAGACCUCUUGGCUCUGCAGCUCCAUUUGUUGGAAGACGAAGUUCGCAACACUGUGGAUAAGGCAGUCAAAGAGAUGGCCAUAGAGAAGAUUGUGACAGAAAUAAGUAAAACGUGGGCAUCGAUGGAGCUUUCAUAUGAAGAUCAUUACCAAACCUCUGUGUCGCUGCUGAAAUGUGACGAGGAACUCAUUGAAACUCUCGAGGAUCAUCAGGUUCAGCUCCAGGGCAUCUUUCAGAGCAAGCAUGUGCAUCACUUCCUGUUCCAGGUAGUGGAGCUGCAGAAACAGCUGACUGUGGCGGACUCUGUGCUGAUGGUCUGGAUGGAGGUCCAAAGAACGUGGGCCUACCUGGAAAGCAUCUUCAAGAGCUGUGACGACAUCUGCCAGCAGCUGCCUGCAGAUGCACACAGAUUUCAAGUUUUAGAUGCAGAAUUUCAGGAGUUAAUGUUGGACAGUGCUAAGACUAAAAACGUCAUCGAAGCCACCAACAAAUCUCAUCUAUUUGAGAAGUUAGAGGAUCUGCAAAGAAGGUUGUCAUUGUGUGAAAAAGCCCUCGCUGAGUACUUGGAGACGAAGAGACUCGCAUUUCCCCGAUUCUACUUUAUUUCAUCUGCAGAUUUGUUGGACAUCCUCUCUAAAGGGAGUCGCCCCAGAGAGGUAACUGUCCACCUCUCAAAAUUAUUCGACAACAUGGCAAAUCUUGAGUUUGCUAAAAAUGAACAUCUGGAUAAUCCUAAACGUGCAGUGGGCAUGUACAGCAAAGAGAGAGAAUAUGUCCCAUUCCAGACUGAAUGUUGCUGUAACGGGCCGGUGGAGGCAUGGCUCUCUUCUCUGGAGGAGUCGAUGAGGGAAUGUGUCCGCGGGCACCUGUCCGAGGCUGUGUCUGCGUACGAGGACAGACCCAGAGAGCAGUGGAUUCUCGACUUCCCGGCCCAAGUGGCUCUCACCGGAUCCCAGAUCUGGUGGAGCAAUGAUAUGGAGCUGGUGUUCAAAAGACUAGAGGAAGGGUUUGAGUCUGCUCUCAAAGAUUACAACAAGAAACAGAUUUCUCAACUCAACAUGUUGAUCAGCAUGCUGCUGGGGGAGCUGAGCUCAGGCGACAGACAGAAGAUCAUGACCUUAUGCACUAUUGAUGUCCAUGCAAGAGACAUUGUUGCCAGCCUCAUUGCCCAAAAGGUCACCUCCUCUCAGGCCUUUCCAUGGCUUUCCCAGCUGCGGCACUGCUGGUAUGAGCAGCAGCAUCAGUGCUUCGUUAACAUCUGUGACGCCCAGUCCCCUUACUCGUACGAGUAUCUUGGAAAUACAUCGCGUCUCGUCAUCACCCCCCUCACAGACCGGUGCUACAUCACUCUAACUCAGUCACUCCACCUGACCAUGAGUGGGGCCCCAGCUGGCCCCGCAGGAACAGGGAAGACUGAGACAACGAAGGAUCUUGGCAGAGCCAUGGGCGUCAUGGUUUACAUCUUCAACUGUUCUGAACAGAUGGACUACAAGUCAAUUGGAAAUAUCUACAAAGGUCUUGCCCAGACCGGAGCAUGGGGUUGCUUCGAUGAGUUCAACCGUAUCGCUGUGGAUGUUUUGUCCGUCGUGGCAGUGCAGGUCAAAACUAUACAGGACGCCAUUCGCACUAAAAAGAAAAGGUUCCUGUUCCUGGACCAAGACAUUGUGUUAAAGCCCUCUGUGGGGAUAUUCAUCACUAUGAACCCUGGCUAUGCAGGCAGGACGGAGCUACCCGAGAACCUCAAGGCUCUUUUCAGACCCUGUGCCAUGGUGGUGCCGGACACUGAGCUCAUUUGUGAGAUAAUGCUGGUGGCAGAGGGCUUCCGAGAUGCUAAGCUUUUAGCCAGGAAGUUCAUCACGUUGUAUAGUCUCUGCAAAGAGCUCCUCUCCAAGCAGGACCACUAUGAUUGGGGCUUGCGUGCUGUCAAGUCUGUUCUGGUUGUUGCCGGGGCCCUGAGAAGAAGAGACAAGAGUAGACCAGAGGAUCAGGUGCUGAUGCGAGCGCUGAGAGACUUCAACAUGCCUAAAAUCGUCACUGAGGAUGUGACUAUCUUCUUGGGACUGCUUGGAGAUCUGUUCCCAGGCCUGGAGGUGGAGAGAGAGAGAGACUGUGAGUUUGAAACGGCCGUCAGGAAGACAACGCUGGAGCUCCGACUCCAACCGGAGGAGACAUUCAUCCUUAAGGUGGUGCAGUUGGAGGAACUCAUGGCAGUGCGUCAUUCAGUCUUUGUUGUUGGAAAUACAGGGACUGGAAAAAGCCAAAUAUUGAGAGUCCUCCAUAAAACUUAUGUCAACUUGAAAAGAAAGCCUGUGUGGAAUGACCUCAAUCCGAAGGCAGUGGACAGAGAUGAAUUGUUUGGCUUCAUCCAUCACGCAACUCGAGAGUGGAAAGAUGGUUUGCUUUCAUCACUGAUGCGAGAGCAAGCAAACAUCUCCCACACCGGACCUAAGUGGAUUGUGUUGGAUGGAGACAUUGAUCCGAUGUGGAUUGAAUCACUCAACACGGUGAUGGAUGACAACAAGGUCCUCACGCUGGCCAGUAAUGAACGUGUCCCACUCACUUCAUCCAUGAGACUGGUGUUUGAAAUCAGCCACCUGCGGACGGCCACUCCUGCUACCGUGUCCAGAGCAGGAAUCCUCUACGUCAACCAGCAGGACCUGGGCUGGAACCCGUACGUUGCUAGCUGGAUUGACCAACGCGAACGGCAGACAGAAAGGGCCCAUCUCACCAUCCUGUUUGAGAAAUACGUUCCUCGUUGUCUAGAACAGAUGAGAAACUCCUUCAAGACCAUCACUCCCAUCCCAGAAAGCUCUAUGGUGCAGACACUCUGCGCUUUGCUCGACUGCCUUCUAACACCAGAAAAUAUUCCAUCUGACUCUCCACGGGAGCUCUAUGAGACCUACUUCACCUUUGCCUGCAUCUGGGCUUUUGGGGGGGCUCUGUAUCAAGAUCAGCUCUAUGAUUACCGGGUACUGUUCAGUCAGUGGUGGACCAAAGAAAUGAAGACAGUGAAGCUUCCAGCACAAGGGAGCGUGUUUGACUACUACCUUGACCCUCAAACAAAACGCUUCCUGCCCUGGAGUGACACUGUGCCGCCGUUUGAAAUGGAAACGUGCACUCCAUUACAGGCUGUUCUGGUACACACAGCAGAGACUGUGCGUCUUCGCUACUUCAUGGACUUGUUGCUGGAGAGGAGACAGCCAGUGAUGCUGGUGGGGAAUGCGGGAGUGGGAAAGACUGCACUUGUCAAGAACAAGUUUGACUGUCUGCCAGAGAGUUACAUGAGUACAAAAGUACCCUUCAACUACCACACUACCUCCCUCAUGCUGCAGGAGAUUCUUGAGCGACAGUUAGAGAAAAGAGCAGGACGAAGCUACUCCCCUGCAGGCAACAGAAGGAUGGUCUACUUCAUCGAUGAUAUCAACAUGCCAGCUGUCGACAGUUACGGAACAGUGCAACCUCACACACUCAUACGUCAGCAUCUGGAUUAUGGCCACUGGUAUGACCGACAGAAGCUGAGCCUAAAGGAAAUCCACAAUACCCAGUAUGUUGCCUGUAUGAAUCCAACGGCUGGGAGCUUCACUAUCAACCCCAGACUACAAAGACAUUUCUCAGUGCUGGCGGUGAACUUCCCUUCGUCUGAGGCUCAGACGUCAAUCUUCAGUCAGAUCCUGUGUGGCCAUCUCAAGCAGGAGCACUUCAGUCCGCUGGUUCAGAGGAGCGCAGCAAGUGUCGUCCAGGCUGCCAUCUCUCUUCAUCACAAGAUGGUCCACAGCUUUCUUCCCACAGCCAUCAAAUUCCACUACACAUUUAAUCUACGAGACUUGUCGAAUGUCUUCCAGGGCAUCCUACUGGCUAGGCCUGACAGUGUGGGAGAGAGCACUGACCUGGCACUGCUGUGGCUCCACGAGUCCUGCAGAGUGUACUCCGACAGACUGGUAGAUGACAAGGACCUGCAGCUCUUCCGGAAGCUCCAGAUGGAGACUGUGCAUGGGCUGGAGGACAAAAAGGUGACACAGCAGCCCCUCCUCUAUUGCCACUUUGCCCAAAAGGGCAAUGAAGCCUCGUAUGCUCCUGUUGCAGACUGGACUGCGCUCAGGUCCGUCCUCACAGAUGCCCUGGAGAGCUACAACGAGCUCAACGCAGCCAUGGAUCUGGUGCUGUUUGAAGACGCCAUGGAACAUGUCUGUCGCAUCAGUCGUAUCCUGGAGUCUCCGAGGGGUCACGGCUUACUGGUCGGGGUCGGGGGCAGCGGUAAGCAGAGCCUGACUCGUCUGGCUGCCUACAUUUCCUCUGUGGAAGUCUUCCAAAUCACUCUGACUAAGGGUUAUAGCAUCCAGGACCUCAAGACGGAUCUGGCAGGCUUGUUCCUGAAGACUGGAGUGAAGAACCAGCGCGUGGCUCUGCUGCUGACUGACGCACAGAUCCCUGAUGAACGCUUCCUGGUCAUCAUUAAUGACUUACUGGCUUCAGGGGAGAUUCCUGAGCUCUUCAGUGAGGAGGAGAUUGAAGGCAUCGUGUCGGCGGUGAGAGCUGAGGUCCGAGCCCUCGGACUGCUGGACAGCAGGGAGAACUGCUGGAGAUUCUUCACUGACCGAGUUCGACUCCAGCUCACGGUGGUGCUGUGUUUGUCUCCUGUGGGCAGUGCCCUCCGUGUAAGGGCCCGUCGAUUCCCUGCUCUCGUCCAAUGCACCACCAUUGACUGGUUCCACCCUUGGACCUCAGAAGCGCUGCAGUCCGUCAGCUACAGAUUCAUCCAAGAGAUCGAAGGCAUUGAGCCUGCCGUCCAGGAAUCCAUCAGUCUUUUCAUGGCCUACGUUCACACCAGUGUCAACCAGGCAAGUGAAAAAUACCAGCGCAAUGAGAAGAGGUACAAUUACACCACCCCCAAGAGCUUUCUCCAGCAAAUCACUCUGUACAGAAACCUUCUGGAGAAGAGCCGAGCUCAGCUCCAGCACAAGAUGAACCGACUUGACAGCGGCCUUCAAAAGCUCCAAACCACGGCCGCUCAGGUCGAUGAUCUUAAAGCUAAACUCGCAUCCCAAGAAGCGGAGCUGACCUGUAAAAACCAGAACAUCGAGGCUCUCAUCACAAAGAUCGGACUUCAGACUGAGAAGGUUAGCAGCAAGAGAGAGGCUGCAGAUAUCGAGGCACAAAAGGUUGCUGUCAUAAAGGCAGAAGUCUUAGUCAAACAGAAGGACUGUGAAAGUGACUUAGCCAAGGCAGAGCCAUCUUUAGCAGCUGCAACAGAAGCACUGGACACCCUCAACAAGGUGAAUCUUACUGAGCUGAAGGCCUUCCCAAACCCCCCAGCAGCAGUGAUCAACGUGGCAGCAGCUGUGAUGGUGCUGCUCGCUCCCCGCGGUCGGGUGCCAAAGGAUCGGAGCUGGAAGGCGGCGCGGGCCUUCAUGGGCAAGGUGGAUGAUUUCCUUCAGGCCCUGACGUCGUAUGACAAGGAGCACGUCCCCGAGGUCUGUUUGACUGUGGUAAAAAAGGAAUAUCUGAAAAAUCCACAGUUCCACCCUGAUCUGGUUCGGACUAAAUCUACAGCUGCAGCCGGUCUCUGUGCCUGGGCUCUAAACAUUGUCCGGUACUACGAGAUUUAUUGUGAGGUCAUUCCUAAGAGGCAUGCAUUAUCACAAGCUAAUGCAGAACUAGACACAGCUACAGCCAAAAGGUUAACAGUUCAAAAGAAAUUGGCGGAUCUUGAUGCAACCCUACAGAGCCUCACAACUCAGGUUGAAGCAGCUACAGCUGAGAAACUCAGUUGUCAGGAGGAGGUGAAACGCACCAACCAGACCAUAGAGCUGGCCAACCGACUGGUCAAAGGCUUAGAGUCAGAGAAGGAGCGCUGGUCCCAGGCAAUUGUUGAGUACGAAAAGCAACAGAGAACUCUGUGUGGCGAUGUCCUCAUCACUUCAGCCUUCGUCUCUUACAUGGGUUACUUCACAAGACAGUAUCGCGUGGAGCUUCGAAACAACGCAUGGAUCCCUUUCCUCCAUUCUCAGAAAGUCUCCGUACCCCUGACAGACGGCUUGGAUCCAAUCCUCAUGCUUACAGAUGAUGCCACUGUGGCUGCCUGGCAUAACCAGGGCCUGCCAAACGAUAGGAUGUCCACCGAGAACGCUUCCAUCCUGACCACCAGUGAGCGUUGGCCGCUCAUCAUCGACCCGCAGCAGCAGGGCGUCAAGUGGAUCAGAAACCGGCUAGGGUCAGAGCUGAGGGUGGUGCAGCAUGGACAGAAGGGGUAUCUAGAUGUGAUUGAACAAGCCCUUGCCUGUGGUGAAACAGUACUGUUAGAGAAUCUGCCGGAGAAGGUAGACCCAGUCCUGGAGCCUCUGCUGGGGAGAAACACUAUUAAGAGAGGAAGGUAUAUUCGUAUUGGCGGCAAGGAGUGUGAAAACAACAGCAACUUUCAACUCAUCCUCCACACCAAGUUGGCCAAUCCCCAUUUCCCCCCUGAGCUGCAGGCCCAGACCACCCUCAUCAACUUCACAGUGACUCCUGUGGGCCUGGAGGAGCAGCUGCUGGGACAGGUGGUGUCCCGCGAGAGGCCCGACCUAGAGGCCUUAAAGAUGGAGCUGACCAGCCAGCAGAACCACUUUAAGAUUGAACUGAAGAGGUUGGAGGACGACCUGUUGAGUCGCCUCUCUGCAGCCCACGGUAAUUUCCUCGGUGAUAUUUCUCUGGUGGAGCAACUCGAGAACGCCAAAAGCACGGCCGCUCACAUUCAGUACAAGGUGGUGGAGGCCAGAGAGAACGAGACAAAGAUCAACGAGGCUCGAGAACUUUACCGCCCAGCAGCUGAGAGAGCCUCACUCCUCUUCUUCAUCAUCAAUGACCUCAGCAAGAUUAACCCCAUGUACCAGUUUUCUCUCAAGACCUUUAACUCGGUGUUUAACAAAGCGAUGGAGCGUGCAGAAUGGGACGAGGAUGUGAGGACCAGAGUGCACACCCUGACUGAGGCCAUCACCUAUUCUGUAUUCCUGUACACCAGCCAGGGCCUGUUUGAGAGAGACAAGUUAACCUUCUUGUCACACACUGCCUUCCAGAUGGCUCUCAAGCAGGGCCUGAUUGAUGCUCAGGAAUUUGACUUCCUACUGCGUUUCCAUGUGGAAGCGUGCAAAGUUAGUCCCGUGUCCUUCCUCUCUCCACAUGCCUGGGGAGCCAUUAAGACAAUUUCUACAAUGGAGGGCUUCGUCGGACUGGACAAAGACAUGGAGAGCUCCCCGAAGCGUUGGAGGAAGAUCGUUGAGUCCAGUUGUCCUGAAAAGGAAAGACUUCCCCAUGACUGGAAGAAUAAAAGUUCCCUCCAGAAGCUUAUUAUCUUCAGAGCCCUUCGCCCUGAUAGGAUCACCUAUACACUGAGGUCCUUUGUGGAGGAAAGCAUGGGAGCAAAAUACGUGGACGCUGCCAGGCUGGAGUUUGACAAGCUGUAUGAGGAAAGCAGCUCCUCCACCCCGGUGUUCUUCAUCCUCUCACCUGGAGUGAAUCCCCUCAAAGAUGUGGAAAAACUAGGAUUGAAGCUGGGAUUCUCCAUCGAGCAGGGCACUCUGCACAACGUCUCCCUGGGCCAGGGGCAGGAGGAGGUGGCUGAGAGGGCUCUGGGGAGCGCCUCUAAACUGGGACACUGGGUCAUUCUGCAGAAUGUGCACCUGGUGGCUCGCUGGCUGCCCUCUCUCGAUGCUCUUCUGGAGACAGCAGCGGUGGACAGCCACCAGAACUACAGAGUGUUCAUCACCGGAGAACCAGCAUCGAGCCCCGAGCAUCACGUGAUCCCCAGAGGCAUCCUGGAGAGCGCCAUCAAGAUCACCAAUGAGCCCCCCACCGGCAUGAAUGCCAGUUUGCAUGCAGCCCUCAACCACUUCAAUCAAGACACCCUGGAUAUGUGUUCCAGAGAGCAGGAGUUCAACUCCAUGUUCUUCUCCCUCUGCUUCUUCCACGCUUGUGUUACGGAGCGUCGUAAAUUUGGUCCCCAGGGGUGGAACCAGAACUACCCUUUCAGCACCGGAGACCUCACCAUCUCCGCCAGCGUCCUGUACAACUACUUAGAGGCCAACACUAAAUCCAUGCAGGUGCCUUGGGAGGACUUGUGUUAUCUUUUUGGGGAGAUCAUGUAUGGAGGACACAUUACCGAUGGCUGGGACAGAAGACUGUGUAAGACCUAUCUGCAAGAGUUCAUGCAUCCAAAAAUGUUUGAAGGGGAGCUUUUUCUCUGCCCUGGGUUCCUGUCCCCUCCCUUCAUGGACUACAGUAGUUACCACGGUUACAUUGACGAACACCUCCCCUCAGAGAACCCCACUCUGUAUGGUCUCCAUCCGAACGCUGAGCUGGACUGCCUCAGCGUCACCUCAGACGACCUCCUGAGGACCCUAAUGGAGCUGCAGCCCCAGGCCUCCUGCAGAGGGGAGGGGUCUGCUCAGAGCACCGAGGAGAAGGUCAAGUCUGUCAUUGAAGAAAUCCUUGAGAAGCUUCCUGAGGAGUAUGACAUGGCAGAGAUCAUCACAAAGACCACAAAGAGAAGCCCCUACAUUUCAGUGUGCUUCCAGGAGUGUGAACGCAUGAAUCUCCUGCUAGCAGAAAUAAGGAAGUCCCUUCAUGAGCUGGAUCUUGGUCUCAAGGGAGAACUCACCAUCUCCUCCAGCAUGGAGACUCUGCAGACAGCUCUGUUCAACGACUCCGUUCCAGAGUCCUGGGCCAGGCUGGCUUACCCCUCCACUAAAACACUGGCACAAUGGUUUAAUGAUGUGAUGUGUAGCUGUCGAGAGCUGGACAGCUGGACUCAGGACUUGGUUCUUCCUGCCGUCGUUUGGCUCUCCGGUCUCUUCAACCCUCAGUCUUUCCUCACCGCUGUGCUGCAGAGCAUUGCUCGGAAGAAUCAGUGGCCCCUGGACAAGAUGACUUUGACUGUGGAUGUAACGAAGAAGACGAAAGACGACUUUGGACACCCCCCACGGGAGGGGGCCUACGUUCACGGACUCUUCAUGGAAGGAGCGCGUUGGGACACUCAGUCUGGAAUCAUCUCCGAGGCGGUUCUGAGGGAUCUGACCCCCGCCAUGCCGGUGCUGUAUGUCAGAGCGGUGCCUGCGGAGGAGCAGGAGCUGAGGAACACCUACGAGUGUCCCGUGUACCGCACCAGGCAGCGGGGGGCCACGUACGUCUGGACCCUCCACCUGCGCACCAAACAGCCCCCUGCCAGGUGGAUCGUAGCGGGGGUGGCACUGCUGCUGUCCGUGUGAGACUAAAGUGAAGCGGGGGCUUGGUACUAGAAUACUUACUGACAGUAUUAUGCAAACAGUUUGAAAGAUGUCUCUUUUAAAGGUCCCCUAUUAUGCUGUUUUUCAUCAAUAUAUUAUAGGUCUCAGAUAUAUACAAACAUGUCUCUGAAGUGUUUGGCUGAAAUACCAAACAGAUCCUGCAUUGUAGAAUCCCACAAAUUCUACAAUGCAGGGGGCGGGGGUUACCUUGGUUGGUGAUUGGCUAAUGGUUACACAACCAAAACAUUGUUAUGACAUCAUAAAGUGGCCAAAAUCUGAUCAUUUUCGGACAGGUUUUUAUUAGGGCUGUCAAGUUAACGCGUUAA